GGAGGCGCGUGGGUUCCUGGUGGUCCUCCUGGCCUUCAAAGCCAUGGGGCGGCGCUCCGCGUCGCCGGCGGGUUCGAUUCCCGUUCGCCUCCGCCA
rnacentral:tRNA from 2 species